rnacentral:lncRNA from 1 species
CAGAGACAUGCACCAGCCUACAGAACACCGACUGAACAAAAACUGGACUGCUUGCAAGACAUGGAAGUUAAUAAAACAAAUAAAAAGCCCCAAGUUUUCAGGAUAAGAAGCCUGGGUAAGACUUCUCAGCAAGAUGAGGUUGUGAAUACUGAGCAACACGUGAAGGAAUGAUUAUUCUGAACGCUGCAGAACCACGUGGCCAGAGACAGCCUCUGCCUCAGAAACAGUAUGCAACUUGCCAGUGAUGAAAUAUCACUUGCUAUUUUCCAGUCUCUUCUUCAAGAAGGCAUGGUGGUGAUGACCCCAAGGUAUCUGAUGGGAGAAUCUGAAGAUCUAUUUUACUGUCUUGAUCUACAACUGUUUUCUUCUGCUUACUAUACAGAAACCAAUUACUUAGCAUCAAAUGGUUUUGAAGGCUCCAGAUCCUCAUGUCAGCCAUAGCAUAAAGAAAAUAAAGAUGAGGAAGUAUGAGCAGCUACUGGGGGAACACCUCUUCACCAGAUAGCAGCUGAUUUGGGUUCCGCAAUGGUACAUUGCGAAUAUACUCAUUCAAAUUCCUUUGGCUGAACAAAUGUCUAUGCCACAGAUGCCUUCAGGGAUGGGCAUGAAAGCUGAAGCAGAAAAUGCAAGGAUCCUGACUAUGCCAUAUCCAUGCAAAAAACAAACAAACAAACAAACAAACAAACAAAAAAAGCCCAACAACAACAACAACAAAAAACCAACCUUCUCCCUUACACAUUUCCCUCACUUGUUCAGAACACUGAAUGUUUUGUGGUUGUACCUUUAGGUUAUAAUUUUGAUGUUAUGUAUAAGUAAUCUUUCUAUUCAUCUUGUUUACUGUUUAAUUUUUGUUGAACUUUCACAACCACAGAUUAACACUAUUUAAUUACCAGAAUUUGUCUACACGUUCCUAAAAUGCCUUAAAAACAAUUUUUAUGCCCACUGCAUAAUACUGCAGUGAUAUAUACUGUGCUUACUUGUAGGCUCAAUACUGGACUGGGUCCAAACCUCUACUCCCCUCACCCUUCCAUUAAAAAGAGUGAAUGUUUGAUAAUGUACCCACCCAAGCAAAAGACAUAUUUGUUGUACAGCUUCCAGUACAAAGAAGUUUUACUCCCAUUGUGUUCUUUAGAAUGUGUAGCAAUGACUUUUAUUCAUAAAUAUUUUUCUAGAAUCAGUGAUGCAUACAGAAUACCAAUGAAGUUUGUUCUCAUCACUAAAUCAGGCCAC